rnacentral:tmRNA from 1 species
AAGCUUUGCGCGCGCCAUGAAUUGAUGAAGCUACCGAUCCCCGUUGCGUGACGGCUUGCGGCGGGAGUAGGGAACGGGGCGUUUGCCCGCAAUAACCGUCUGCGCCCGGAGAAAUUCACAUCAAAGCGCUUUCGGACGGGGGUUCGAUUCCCCCCAUCUCCACCA